rnacentral:tRNA from 2 species
UCAGAAUGGGCGCUUGUCGCGUGCCAGAUCGGGGUUCAAUUCCCCGUCGCGGAG